CAGACGUGUAGACGGGCCAGGGGAGGCGUCCCACCAGACAGACGUGUAGACGGGCCAGGGGAGGCGUCUCACCAGACAGACGUGUAGACGGGCCAGGGGAGGCGUCUCACCAGACAGACGUGUAGACGGGCCAGGGGAGGCGUCUCACCAGACAGACGUGUAGACGGGCCAGGGGAGGCGUCUCACCAGACAGAGGUGUAGACGGGCCAGGGGAGGCGUCUCACCAGACAGAGGUGUAGAUGGGCCAGGGGAGGCGUCUCACCAGACAGAGGUGUAGACGGGCCAGGUUUCCACAGUCGUUCAUGCAGUGGUAUUUUGUGCUGAGCUCUGUUCUGAUUCUCUCUUCUGGUAGCUUCUCAUCUCCCAGAUAUGUCAUUCUGUGUGGAAGCGUAGGUUUGAGACCUUCCUUAAGAGAGGAAAGCUUAUCUUUAGUUUAUAGAAAUAAAAACAAAACUGUAUUUCCAAGCAAAACUGACUUUAUGUAGGUGUCUCCAGAGAUGCAGCUUCAGCUGCCCUCGCAGAUGCCGCUGAGGAGCUGCUGGACCGCCUUGCGUCACACAGCAUGCUGCCCUCAGACGUGUCCAUCCUGUACCACAUGAAAACGCUGCUGCUCCUGCAAGAUACUGAGAGAUUGAAGCAUGCUCUGGAAAUGUUCCCAGAACAUUGCACGAUGCCUCCUGACCAUGCCAGAGUAAUCUCAGCUUUCUUUAGUUACUGGAUCACACAUAUCCUUCC
rnacentral:lncRNA from 1 species